GUGAGGAAUUUUCCGCAAUGGGCGAAAGCCUGACGGAGCAAUGCCGCGUGAAGGAUGAAGGCCUAUGGGUUGUAAACUUCUUUUCUUAGAGAAGAAUAUUGACGGUAUCUGAGGAAUAAGCAUCGGCUAACUCUGUGCCAGCAGCCGCGGUAAGACAGAGGAUGCAAGCGUUAUCCGGAAUGAUUGGGCGUAAAGCGUCUGUAGGUGGCUUCAAAAGUCUCCUGUCCAACAUCAGGUCUUAACCCUGGGCGGGCAGGAGAAACUCUGAGGCUAGAGUUUGGUAGGGGCAGAGUGAAUUCCCGGUGGAGCGGUGAAAUGCGUAGAGAUCGGGAGGAACACCAAAGGCGAAAGCACUCUGCUGGGCCACAACUGACACUGAGAGACGAAAGCGAGGGGAGCAAAAGGGAUUAGAAACCCGUGUAGUCC
rnacentral:rRNA from 1 species